rnacentral:lncRNA from 1 species
GCUUCUGACCCAGGGGCUUCAUUGCGAGGGUCAGGUGCAGGUUGAGCAGUGUGGCAUGGGCCUGAGGUCUUCGGACCAAUAGGGCAGCGAGAUUGGGUACUUUUGAGCUUAUCGUCAGUUGACGCAUGCAUACAGUAGCUGUAGUGUUUAUUUUCAGUACAUCCUUAUCUGUUUAUUGUAGCUACUGUUUUAUUUACCUGCAUCUAUACUUGUCAGCUCCUUACUUAUCAGCAUCUUUACUUACCAGCACUUAUGUCUAUCUAGUUCUCCAUGUUAUUGUAUAGCUCUCUUCCUGAUCCGGUGAGUACUCCUCGCCUUCUUCGGCUUGCGGUACCCACUGGGAGGGGAGACAUGUUUACAUGUUCUCACCUCCCCCACCAUUUUUCAGGUAUCGCGGGCGAUGAGUAGUGGGACGAGACGUGAGGUACGUGUGUAGCGGUCGAUAGAGCUUCCGACCCAGGUUAUUUCGAUUUAGUUAUUAUCCUUGGUAUUUCUGUUGUUAUAUAGUUUAGUUGGUUUAUAUGGUUCAGUAUUUAUUUACAUUUGAAAAUGUGGAUUUCUGGAUUUUGUAAAAUAAAAGGUUUUCUACCCCUCGUGGUAGCGUUUUUAAAAUAAUAAAGGUUUCUGUGUAGGAAACAGUUUUCAAAAGAUUUUUGUGGAUUUCUGUUUAAACCUUUAAUGUAAAACUGUGAUGUGAAUGGUGAAUGUAUGAAUGUAUAAUUAUCUUUAUAUUCAUCUGGUUGUGGUUGUAUCCUGGUUGUACUGUGUAUUUGAUCGACGCCGUGCAAAUACAGGGGAGACUCUGUCCGUGUGAACAGUGGAUUCCCUAUAUUUGUGGCGGAUCUGGCAUACUCUGGGGUCAGGUUUUCAAAAAAAAAAAAUUCAGACGCUUUUCCGCUUUGUUUUUAAACUGAAAAGAGACCCCGGGGCGUGACAUUAAGGGAAGCUAUAAUCCUACAAUAAUAUUGCAGUAA